AUUUGGACCCCAGCCCUUCACUGGAACACACACACACACGCACAUGCAUGUACACACACAUACACACACAUGCAUGCACACAUCACUCUGCACAUACCACACCACACACACGCGCACACACAUACCACUCUGCACAGACUCUGAGCAGUCCGAAAGUCCCCGUGGACCCUUUGGUUCACACAGCCCUGGAGGGGAUGGGGAAGGACCCACCUAGCCUUGCAGAGGCAGAAUGACUCUUGCCAGUCAGGAAUUCCUACAGCGGGUUGCAUCAUUCACAUAACAUUAGCAGCCAUCAAAGGCUAAAGAGCAGCCCCCAAAAAGGAGAGGCUCAGUGGCCACAAUGGCUGUGGCCCUCACUUCCGCACUGUGCAGAGGGCCCUAGGGGCCCUGGCCUCCGGGCCUGAGCUCAAGGCCACCACGGUAGUGUCCCAUCAGAAACGUAUGACAUCCUGCUGCUCCUGCUCCGUCCUGAGGUGGCACCCCCCAGUUUUCUGGGUGUACACAUCCAUCUAAGCUUGGCUGGUGGGCGUCUGCCCAGAUGAGGGGGCCAAGGACCCAACUCUGCACAACAGCAAAUGCAUUCAGGGAGGGCCACUGGGACCUCCAGGAGCUGCUGAGAUACCACCCAAGUCCCAGGCGUGUGCAGGACUCAUGGGGCCAGAGGCAUAAUUUCACUCUUGUUGCCCAGGCUGGAGUGCAAUGGUGUGUGUGAUCUCAGCUCACUGCAACCUCCACCUCCCCGGUUCAAGCAAUUCUCCUGCCUCAACCUCCCAAGUAGCUGCUAUUACAGAUGCAGCUGGAAUCAAAGUCCCACCAAGGGGAGGAGACAGGGACCCCAAAGGCACCUGCUAUCUUUAUCAAUAGAGAACAGACAAUAAUGGGACACCAGUGCUGUGGAAUGGUGUGCAGGCGUUUGAAGGAGGGAGGUCAGGCCACACAGGCUGUCCUGGAAAGGCAUCCAGGCAAGAGCCCACAGGGAUACAUCUACCCUUCAUGGAAGGCAGGCAUGCGAGGUGCUGG
rnacentral:lncRNA from 1 species